UGAGUACGGCGAGCGAAAAGGGAGGAGCCCAGCGCCGAAUCCUCGACCUCCGGUCGUUGGAAAUGUGGCGUUUAGGAGUGAGCGUGCCGGGUUCGGAGCGGGCGGCAAGUCCCCCUGACCGGGGCCUGUCCAUAGCGGGUGCGAGGCCCAUAGCCGCCCGUCCCGUCUCGGAUGCGAUCUCCUUGGAGUCGGGUUGCUUGGGAGUGCAGCCCUAAUCGGGUGGUAAACUCCACCUAAGGCUAAAUACCGCCGUGAGACCGAUAGCAAACAAGUACCGUGAGGGAAAGUUGCAAAGAACUUUGAAGAGAGAGUUCAAGAGUACGUGAAACUGUUCAGAGGUAAACGGGUGGGCCCUCGAAAUCCUGUGGCGAGAGGAUUCAGUCUGGCGCCGUGGACUCGGAGCGGGAAAUUCGUGGUAGGGCUUCCCGAGACCGGGGCCGUCCCGCAUCGAGGCCUCCUCGGUUCCAGACGCAUUUGUCUCUCGUCCGAAGGACGCUGCAGCCGGUCGGGCAGUGCAAGCGUGUCGGCCUGAAGGUUGGGCCAACGGCAGGUGGCCGGUGGCGCGCCUCGUGUGCGUCGCCGGUUGUUAGCCGGCCCUUCGGUGGCUCGACGUCCGACCGUGGUGUCGCGAGGCCCUCACGGGCCUCAUCGUCUCCUCCCUGAGUUGCGGGGCAGAGGGUCGCAGGUGAAAUGCGCUGUCCCGUCGCACUCCCUCGGAGUGGACGGGUUAACGUAGCGCGCCGUUGGCGGCCGCGGACCCGCGGGGGACUGGAGGCUCGCAGCGAGUAGGUCGGUCACCCACCCGUCCCGUCUUGAAACACGGACCAAGGAGUCUAACAUGUGCGCGAGUCAAUGGGUCUUGAACAGGCCCAGGGGCGCAAUGAAAGCGAAGGUCGACCUCGCGUCGGCUGAGUCGGGAUCCUCCUCCUCGCGGGGAGGCGCACCGACGACCCGUCCUAUUCGGCUCGCCGUUUGGGCGGAGUCUGAGCGUACACGUUGGGACCCGAAAGAUGGUGAACUAUGCCCGGACAGGACGAGGCCAGAGGAAACUCUGGUGGAGGU
rnacentral:rRNA from 1 species